AGUGAACGCUGGCGGUAGGCCUAACACAUGCAAGUCGAACGGCAGCACAGUAAGAGCUUGCUCUUACGGGUGGCGAGUGGCGGACGGGUGAGGAAUACAUCGGAAUCUACUUUUUCGUGGGGGAUAACGUAGGGAAACUUACGCUAAUACAGCAUACGACCUACGGGUGAAAGCAGGGGAUCUUCGGACCUUGCGCGAUUGAAUGAGCCGAUGUCGGAUUAGCUAGUUGGCGGGGUAAAGGCCCACCAAGGCGACGAUCCGUAGCUGGUCUGAGUGGAUGAUCAGCCACACUGGAGCUGAGACACGGUCCAGACUCCUACGGGAGGCAGCAGUGGGGAAUAUUGGACAAUGGGCGCAAGCCUGAUCCAGCCAUACCGCGUGGGUGAAGAAGGCCUUCGGGUUGUAAAGCCCUUUUGUUGGGAAAGAAAGGCAGCAGGUUAAUACCCCGCUGUUCUGACGGUACCCAAAGAAUAAGCACCGGCUAACUUCGUG
rnacentral:rRNA from 1 species